rnacentral:rRNA from 1 species
UACGAAGGGGGCUAGCGUUGUUCGGAAUUACUGGGCGUAAAGCGCACGUAGGCGGAAUGUUAAGUCAGGGGUGAAAUCCCGGGGCUCAACCCCGGAACUGCCUUUGAUACUGGCAUUCUCGAGUCCGGAAGAGGUGAGUGGAAUUCCGAGUGUAGAGGUGAAAUUCGUAGAUAUUCGGAGGAACACCAGUGGCGAAGGCGGCUCACUGGACCACAACUGACGCUGAGGCGCGAAAGCUAGGGGAGCAAACAGG